rnacentral:rRNA from 1 species
CCUACGGGAGGCAGCAGUAGGGAAUAUUGCUCAAUGGGGGAAACCCUGAAGCAGCAACGCCGCGUGGAGGAUGAAGGUUUUAGGAUUGUAAACUCCUUUUGUGAGAGAAGAUAAUGACGGUAUCCCACGAAUAAGCACCGGCUAACCCCGUGCCAGCAGCCGCGGUAAUACGGAGGGAGCAAGCGUUACUCGGAAUUACUGGGCGUAAAGGGUGCGCAGGCGGGCUUGUAAGUCAGAUGUGAAAUCCUGUAGCUUAACUACAGAACUGCAUUUGAAACUAUGAGUCUAGAGUGUGGGAGAGGUAGGUGGAAUUCGUGGUGUAGGGGUAAAAUCCGUAGAUAUCAAGAGGAAUACUGAUUGCGAAGGCGACCUACUGGAACAUUACUGACGCUCAUGCACGAAAGCGUGGGGAGCAAACAGGAUUAGAUACCCGGGUAGUC